CGCCGCCUCCACGUCGCAGACGACCCCUUCCCAUACGACCGGGCAUGCCCCCACCAGCUAGGCCAUGUCCUGCAUCGCCGCCGUAAUCCUCUGUUCUUGUCUUGGAUGUGGUAGCAGGUUCAGAUGGAUGGUCAAGGCGUUGGUGAGGAGCGUGAAGAGUAUCGCCUCAUGAUUAGCAAGAUCUUGAGAAGUGAGGAGGAAGGAUAUCAGUUCUGCAAUGAGUAUCGGAUGCGACCACUAGCUCGUAUAUAUGGCCGCGCAAGAUUUAACUUAAUUUGUGUAACAAUUCAACUGCAGGUUCUGAUGAAUCAUGUUGGUCAGGUGAUGGUCUGUGCAAGUUGAGUCUGAUUGUGCUUCGGCGGAGUCAUCAUUCCAGAAAAAGGGCUGUCAUGUGUAUAUAUGUACCAUUCACACGGAAAUUAUCUUAUUCUGUGAUAUACUUCCUGAGUUUUGAGCAAUCAGAUGAGUUUGCGCCGUAUAUUAGAAGAAGGGUUGUGUAUGACGUAUACCGCUGUAAAUGAUUGUAACUACAUUGUUUUGCUCAUGAAUAAAGUUAUCUCUGUGAGUUGUGAGAAAUUUUGUA